CCUACGGGAGGCUGCAGUGGGGAAUAUUGGACAAUGGGGGGAACCCUGAUCCAGCCAUGCCGCGUGUGUGAAGAAGGCCCUCGGGUUGUAAAGCACUUUCAGUGAGGAAGAACGCCUGGUGGUUAAUACCCAUCAGGAAAGACAUCACUCACAGAAGAAGCACCGGCUAACUCCGUGCCAGCAGCCGCGGUAAUACGGAGGGUGCGAGCGUUAAUCGGAAUUACUGGGCGUAAAGCGCGCGUAGGUGGCUUGAUAAGCCGGUUGUGAGAGCCCCGGGCUCAACCUGGGAACGGCAUCCGGAACUGUCAAGCUAGAGUGCAGGAGAGGAAGGUAGAAUUCCCGGUGUAGCGGUGAAAUGCGUAGAGAUCGGGAGGAAUACCAGUGGCGAAGGCGGCCUUCUGGACUGACACUGACACUGAGGUGCGAAAGCGUGGGUAGCAAACAGGAUUAGAUACCCUUGUAGUC
rnacentral:rRNA from 1 species